GCACAAGCGGUGGAGCAUGUGGUUUAAUUCGACGCAACGCGAAGAACCUUACCAGGGCUUGACACUCCCUGACCGCGUAUGAAAGUACGUUUUCACCUCGGGUGACAGGGAGACAGGUGGUGCAUGGUUGUCGUCAGCUCGUGUCGUGAGAUGUUGGGUUAAGUCCCGCAACGAGCGCAACCCCUACGUUUAGUUGCUAACGCGUGAAGGCGAGCACUCUAGACGAACUGCCGUUGACAAAACGGAGGAAGUGGGAUGACGUCAAAUCAUCAUGCCCCUUAUGUUCUGGGCUACACACGUGCUACAAUGGCCGGUACAGACGGACGCAAAGCCGCGAGGUGGAGCAAAUCCUAAAAAGCCGGUCUCAGUUCGGAUUGCAGGCUGCAAUUCGCCUGCAUGAAGUCGGAAUCGCUAGUAAUCGCAGGUCAGCAUACUGCGGUGAAUACGUUCCCGGGCCUU
rnacentral:rRNA from 1 species